UGGGGAAUCUUGGACAAUGGGGGCAACCCUGAUCCAGCCAUGCCGCGUGAGUGAUGAAGGCCUUAGGGUCGUAAAGCUCUUUCGCCUGUGAAGAUAAUGACGGUAGCAGGUAAAGAAACCCCGGCUAACUCCGUGCCAGCAGCCGCGGUAAUACGGAGGGGGUUAGCGUUGUUCGGAAUUACUGGGCGUAAAGCGCACGUAGGCGGACCAGAAAGUUGGGGGUGAAAUCCCGGGGGCUCAACCCCGGAACUGCCUCCAAAACUAUUGGUCUAGAGUUCGAGAGAGGUGAGUGGAAUUCCAAGUGUAGAGGUGAAAUUCGUAGAUAUUUGGAGGAACACCAGUGGCGAAGGCGGCUCACUGGCUCGAUACUGACGCUGAGGUGCGAAAGUGUGGGGAGCAAACAGGAUUAGAUACCCUGGUAGUCCACACCGUAAACGAUGAAUGCCAGUCGUCGGGUAGCAUGCUAUUCGGUGACACACCUAACGGAUUAAGCAUUCCGG
rnacentral:rRNA from 1 species